CGGGCUGCUCAUGCUCGAUGCUCAUCGAACUUUUCUCCACUACUGUCUGAGCUCCUCUCGGCUCUUCAUAAUUUUUGCUCACCCAUAGGCCUGUUUAUAGACCCUAAAACCCAAACUGCAUCAAAGAAAGACUCCUGAUUGGACUCUAGACAUGUCGAACCAUCUAAUCAGCACCACAAGCCCUCUCAGCUACUUGAUCAUGCUCGAUCAAGCUUUCCAGCCAUCAGAUCA
rnacentral:lncRNA from 1 species